rnacentral:rRNA from 1 species
CACGUAGGGUGCGAGCGUUGUCCGGAAUUAUUGGGCGUAAAGAGCUCGUAGGCGGUCUGUCGCGUCUGCUGUGAAAACUCAGGGCUUAACCCUGAGCUUGCAGUGGGUACGGGCAGACUAGAGUGCGGUAGGGGAGACUGGAAUUCCUGGUGUAGCGGUGAAAUGCGCCAGAGUAUCAGGAGGAACACCGGUGGCGAAGGCGGGUCUCUGGGCCGUAACUGACGCUGGAGGAACGAAAGCUACGGGGAGCAAACAGG